rnacentral:rRNA from 1 species
UGGGGAAUAUUGCACAAUGGGCGCAAGCCUGAUGCAGCCAUGCCGCGUGUGUGAAGAAGGCCUUCGGGUUGUAAAGCACUUUCAGCGGGGAGGAAGGCGAUAAGGUUAAUAACCUUGUCGAUUGACGUUACCCGCAGAAGAAGCACCGGCUAACUCCGUUCCAGCAGCCGCGGUAAUACGGAGGGUGCAAGCGUUAAUCGGAAUUACUGGGCGUAAAGCGCACGCAGGCGGUCUGUCAAGUCGGAUGUGAACUCCCCGGGCUCAACCUGGGAACUGCAUUCGAAACUGGCAGGCUAGAGUCUUGUAGAGGGGGGUAGAAUUCCAGGUGUAGCGGUGAAAUGCGUAGAGAUCUGGAGGAAUACCGGUGGCGAAGGCGGCCCCCUGGACAAAGACUGACGCUCAGGUGCGAAAGCGUGGGGAGCAAACAGG